ACGGACGAUCACGAUUACCAGGUCAAGAUGCGGUCUGUGCUCAAGUUCCUUGAAGAAGGCGACAAGGUGAAGAUUACCCUGCGCUUUCGCGGCAGGGAAAUGGCACACCAGCAGCUUGGCAUGGAUCUGCUGAAUCGUGUGGCGGCGGACGUGAACGCCUUGGGCAAGAUCGAAUCGAUGCCCAAGCUCGAAGGCCGCCAGAUGGUCAUGAUGAUCGGCCCGCGGUAAUCCGCAGCCCGACGCAGAACCGCACGUUCAGGCCCCUUCCGCAAGGAUGGGGCCUUUUCGCUGUGCUCAGGCCGGUUCGCAGAACAUGUCAUAGACCAGCGCGAUGGUGCGCUGC
rnacentral:misc_RNA from 1 species